AUACGGAGGGGGCUAGCGUUGUUCGGAAUUACUGGGCGUAAAGCGUACGUAGGCGGAUCAGAAAGUAUGGGGUGAAAUCCCAGGGCUCAACCCUGGAACUGCCUCAUAAACUCCUGGUCUUGAGUUCGAGAGAGGUGAGUGGAAUUCCGAGUGUAGAGGUGAAAUUCGUAGAUAUUCGGAGGAACACCAGUGGCGAAGGCGGCUCACUGGCUCGAUACUGACGCUGAGGUACGAAAGUGUGGGGAGCAAACAGGAUUAGAUACCCUAGUAGUCC
rnacentral:rRNA from 1 species